rnacentral:misc_RNA from 1 species
GAUGAAGAACGUAGCGAAAUGCGAUAAGUAAUGUGAAUUGCAGAAUUCAGUGAAUCAUCGAAUCUUUGAACGCACAUUGCGCCCGCCAGCACUCUGGCGGGCAUGCCUGUUCGAGCGUCAUUUCAACCAUCAAGCCCCCAGGGGCUUGUGCUGGGGCCCUGCGGCUGCCCGCAGGCCCUGAAAACCAGUGGCGGGCUCGCUAGUCACACCGAGCGCAGUAGUACAUCUCGCUCAGGGCGUGCGGCGGGCUCCUGCCGUGAAACCCCCCACUGUAACCCCAAAGGUUGACCUCGGAUCAGGUAGGAAUACCCGCUGAACUUAAGCAUAUCAAUAAGCGGAGGA